rnacentral:tRNA from 1 species
GAGUUAGCUCAGCCUGGUAGAGCGCUUGCUUUGGGAGCAAGAUGUCGUAGGUUCGAAUCCUAUACUC